rnacentral:lncRNA from 1 species
UCUAUAUGUUUUGCAUCGAGAAUGUGUGUUUUGUUAUUAUUUUAUGUUACCCUCAUGUGAUCUCAUAACUCUGUCUUGCUAAGUCACAUGCAUAGUCCCUGCACAAUUCUAGAUAUAAAAUGCCCUUUUAAUCAAUUUAUCCUUAUCUGCAACCACAGUUCUACCUAGGAGUCAUUAUAAUGGAUGACAAGGUCCAGAGAGGCUGAUAAAAUAAUCUAAGGUCACACAGCUGGGCUGCCCUGAAAGCCAGUCAACUUUCAAGAGUAGACUUUUUGUUUAAGAUUUGCUCUCAGUCAUCUUAUUUUUAAAAGCAGGAUUGAUUUACAGCUUUACAUUACCAAGUAGCCUAGUAAAAUCUGAUAUCAUCUGGUUGUCCCAACAGCAUGGGAGAUGCCAUUGACACUAUUAAUUGACAAUAAUGAGGCUCGUCCCUCAAGUCUGCAUGGUCAUUUCACCUUUACAGCGACCUCUCCCAAGGAGUUCAGAAUUUGGUUCACACAACGAAUUCUGGGAGGCAGAGAGAACAGGAUCCAAGAAAAUCCAGUGUCUCAGAGGCUUAGCCUGUCCCACGUGGCCACCGUCUUUAGUAUCAUUAAUCAUGCAACCCAUUUUUGUGUACCCCCAUGGUACCAGUGGUAGUUGAUCUGUUAGCUGAUAUGGCUACUAAAUGCAUAACAGGAGGGUAGCAUAUACACCAUGGAUACACUGGGCAAAGUAAUGUGGGCUCACAAAUGCCAUCUGAUAGUCUCUUGUGAUGCUGAGAAAAUAUUCAUAUUCAAAAAUCGUAGACCGAGGUAGAGUCAACUUGCUGGUUGUAGGUCCUGGCAUAAAACAGAGACUCGUGAGAUGAAUCAUCACGGAAGUCAGGACCGUCUGUGUAUGCAGAGGACGUCAAAAAAAAUAUCUAAAUAAAAAUGUGCAUUUCAAAA